UACAGAGGGGGCAAGCGUUAUUCGGAAUUAUUGGGCGUAAAGGGCGCGUAGGCGGCCUGGCAAGUGACGGGUGGAAGCCCUCGGCUCAACCCGAGGAACUGCCUGUCAUACUGCCGGGCUUGAGUCCGGGAGAGGUGAGUGGAAUUCCCAGUGUAGCGGUGAAAUGCGUAGAUAGUUGGGAGGAACACCAGUGGCGAAGGCGGCUCACUGGACCGGAACUGACGCUGAGGCGCGGAAAGCGUGGGGAGCAACAGG
rnacentral:rRNA from 1 species